rnacentral:rRNA from 1 species
UACGAAGGUGGCAAGCGUUGUUCGGAUUUACUGGGCGUACAGGGAGCGUAGGCGGUUGGAUAAGCCCUCCGGGAAAUCUCCAGGCUUAACCCGGAAAGUGCAGAGGGGACUGUUCAGCUAGAGGAUGGGAGAGGAGCGCGGAAUUCCCGGCGUAGCGGUGAAAUGCGUAGAGAUCGGGAGGAAGGCCGGUGGCGAAGGCGGCGCUCUGGAACAUUUCUGACGCUGAGGCUCGAAAGCGUGGGGAGCAAACAGG